AUUAAAAACCAAUGCCCUUCGGGGCUCUCUGGUGAUUCAUAAUAACUUCUCGAAUCGCACGGCCUUGCGCCGGCGAUGGUUCAUUCAAAUUUCUGCCCUAUCAACUUUCGACGGCUGGGUCUUGGCCAGCCGUGGUGACAACGGGUAACGGAGGGUUAGGGCUCGACCCCGGAGAAGGAGCCUGAGAGACGGCCACUACAUCCAAGGAAGGCAGCAGGCGCGCAAAUUACCCAAUCCCGACACGGGGAGGUAGUGACAAUAAAUACUGAUACAGGGCUCUUUCGGGUCUUGUAAUUGGAAUGAGUACAAUUUAAAUCCCUUAACGAGGAACAAUUGGAGGGCAAGUCUGGUGCCAGCAGCCGCGGUAAUUCCAGCUCCAAUAGCGUAUAUUAAAGUUGUUGAGGUUAAAAAGCUCGUAGUUGAACCUUGGGCCUAGCCGGCCGGUCCGCCUCACCGCGUGCACUGGCUCGGCUGGGUCUUUCCUUCUGGAGAACCGCAUGCCCUUCACUGGGUGUGCC
rnacentral:rRNA from 1 species